rnacentral:rRNA from 1 species
AGUGAACGCUGGCGGUAGGCCUAACACAUGCAAGUCGAACGGCAGCACAGUAAGAGCUUGCUCUUACGGGUGGCGAGUGGCGGACGGGUGAGGAAUACAUCGGAAUCUACUUUUUCGUGGGGGUUAACGUAGGGAAACUUACGCUAAUACCGCAUACGACCUACGGGUGAAAGCAGUGGAUCUUCGGACCUUGCGCGAUUGAAUGAGCCGAUGUCGGAUUAGCUAGUUGGCGGGGUAAUGGCCCACCAAGGCGACGAUCCGUAGCUGGACUGAGAGGAUGGUCGGCCACCCUGGAACGGAGACACGGACCAGACUCCUACGGGAGGCAGCAGUGGGGAAUAUUGGACAAUGGGCGCAAGCCUGAUCCAGCCAUACCGCGUGGGUGAAGAAGGCCUUCGGGUUGUAAAGCCCUUUUGUUGGGAAAGAAAAGCAGCAGGUUAAUACCCCGCUGUUCUGACGGUACCCAAAGAAUAAGCACCGGCUAACUUCGUG